UUCCUUCAAUCCGGCCGCCCCUCCCUCUAUUCCGGCCGAACACCACCACAAACCACCUCAAACCACCGCCGAACAACCUCAAUUCAUCACCAAUCUUCAUCUUCUUCUUUUUUUUUUAUUGAAUUCGUGGACUGUUGGACAGAUAGUGAGCUUGUUUCGAGUGUAUCUGAUUGUUCGUGUCCUUGUUCGUUGAUCUAGGAUAUUUAUACUUGUGCUGCUUUCAGGUGCUCAGGCUAAUUAGGGAUAAAGGCUGCUAUGCUAGGCUG